CCGAAUUCGUCGACAACAGAGUUUGAUCCUGGCUCAGAUUGAACGCUGGCGGCAGGCUUAACACAUGCAAGUCGAGCGGGGAGAUGUAGCUUGCUACAUAUCCUAGCGGCGGACGGGUGAGUAAUGCUUAGGAAUCUGCCUAUUAGUGGGGGACAACGUUCCGAAAGGAACGCUAAUACCGCAUACGCCCUACGGGGGAAAGCAGGGGAUCUUCGGACCUUGCGCUAAUAGAUGAGCCUAAGUCGGAUUAGCUAGUUGGUGGGGUAAAGGCCUACCAAGGCGACGAUCUGUAGCGGGUCUGAGAGGAUGAUCCGCCACACUGGGACUGAGACACGGCCCAGACUCCUACGGGAGGCAGCAGUGGGGAAUAUUGGACAAUGGGCGGAAGCCUGAUCCAGCCAUGCCGCGUGUGUGAAGAAGGCCUUUUGGUUGUAAAGCACUUUAAGCGAGGAGGAGGCUCCUUUAGUUAAUACCUAAAGAGAGUGGACGUUACUCGCAGAAUAAGCACCGGCUAACUCUGUGCCAGCAGCCGCGGUAAUACAGAGGGUGCGAGCGUUAAUCGGAUUUACUGGGCGUAAAGCGUGCGUAGGCGGCUUUUUAAGUCGGAUGUGAAAUCCCUGAGCUUAACUUAGGAAUUGCAUUCGAUACUGGAAAGCUAGAGUAUGGGAGAGGAUGGUAGAAUUCCAGGUGUAGCGGUGAAAUGCGUAGAGAUCUGGAGGAAUACCGAUGGCGAAGGCA
rnacentral:rRNA from 1 species